GUGGGUAUAGCUCAGUGGUAGAAUUCAUGCUUAGCAUACAUGAGGUCCUGGGUUCAAUCCCUAGUAUCUCCA
rnacentral:tRNA from 1 species